UGAAGGGGUGCCGAUAAUUCUGGUGCCCAACGCGUCUCAGACGUUGAUUUGCAAGUUUGACCAUAAAAAAAAAAAAUAUAUAUAUAUAUAUAUAUAAAUAAAUAAAUAAGAAAGGCAGCAAUGAUUUUGCCGAAAAAGGUGGGAGGUGAGCUGGGUUCUACCCCAGGAAAAGGAGGUGCUGGAGUCCAUGAACGUGCGUAGCCGACUUCACUGACGAUGGAUCUCACAUGCAAUUUGCAAGAGUGGAACUUUAUCAUUUUGGUUUUAUGCGACAAAGGGCAUAUCUUUACUUUGCCAUGCAAAUCUCGACUUCGGCAAAAGUCUCCAUGGAGACCCACCAAGGCUACCUACUACUCUAAUACUAUUAUAUUUCUCUCUCUUAUAUUAUUACAUUUUAAAAAGUGCAGGGGCAUAUCUUUACUUUGCCAUGCAAAUCUCGACUUAGGCAAAAGUCUCCAUGGAGACCCACCAAGGCUACCUACUACUCUUAUACUAUUAUAUUUCUCUCUCUUA